GUCCAUCAGUGAUUGGUGAUCAUUGAUUCACUAUUGGCAGAGGACAGUGAAGCUUCCUCUGAACCUCUCAGAAAAGAAUCAUAAACUUGUUUUUCAUUUCUAUGGCAGAUGUUUAUUGAUUUUUAUGAUGCACGAAGAGUGUACCUGACACAGGUUGACAGUGGCAAAGAUAACACUGCUCCUGCCCCUGGGGAGCCAGCAGCUUAUUCCAAUGAAUGGGAUGUUUUCCAUGAUGUUCCCGUUCUGUUGGCAAGUAUGGGCUGCAAUUCAUCCCUCUCUUCACCUGCCAAGUUUGUGUCCUGGCUCAGGGCUGCAUCCACCUCUGUGAAGCAAUGCCUGCUUCUCCCUAGCAAAUCCUCUUCCCAUUGCCUAGCUGAAUACCAAUUCAGAAGCAGCACCUUUUUUUAAUUCAUGUAAAAGAACAAUGAAGAUGAGUCACAGCUUUGGGCACAUGAUGGGUAUACGUGGUUAGGCCAAAUAGAUUAUUGUCUCUAAUUGACUUCAUAAUAAAAGCUUUCAUGAUAAAGACCAAGAUGUCUAAAGACUUUGUUCAAAUACCUGUG
rnacentral:lncRNA from 1 species